rnacentral:piRNA from 1 species
UCCCUCUAUCUGAUGGGCUCCAGAGGCUUC